GGUACACGAGUGGCGAACGGGUGAGUAACACGUGAGCAACCUACCCUUGACAUCGGAAUAACUGCUGGAAACAGCCGCUAAUACCGAAUACGACCUUUGCGGGCCUCCGUGAAGGUGGAAAGCUCCGGCGGUCAGGGAUGGGCUCGCGGCCUAUCAGCUUGUUGGUGAGGUAAUGGCUCACCAAGGCGACGACGGGUAGCCGGCCUGAGAGGGCGACCGGCCACACUGGGACUGAGAUACGGCCCAG
rnacentral:rRNA from 1 species